rnacentral:rRNA from 1 species
AGUGAACGCUGGCGGUAGGCCUAACACAUGCAAGUCGAACGGCAGCACAGUAAGAGCUUGCUCUUACGGGUGGCGAGUGGCGGACGGGUGAGGAAUACAUCGGAAUCUACUUUUUCGUGGGGGAUAACGUAGGGAAACUUACGCUAAUACCGCAUACGACCUACGGGUGAAAGCAGAGGAUCUUCGGACCUUGCGCGAUUGAAUGAGCCGAUGUCGGAUUAGCUAGUUGGCGGGGUAAAGGCCCACCAAGGCGACGAUCCGUAGCUGGUCUGAGAGGAUGAUCAGCCACACUGGAACUGAGACACGGUCCAGACUCCUACGGGAGGCAGCAGUGGGGAAUAUUGGACAAUGGGCGCAAGCCUGAUCCAGCCAUACCGCGUGGGUGAAGAAGGCCUUCGGGUUGUAAAGCCCUUUUGUUGGGAAAGAAAAGCAGCAGGUUAAUACCCCGCUGUUCUGACGGUACCCAAGGAAUAAGCACCGGCUAACUUCGUG